GGGUUAGUAAUGAAUAGGUAACGUACCCUAUGCUCCGGGAUAGCGUCAGAUUACUUCGGUAAUCAUCCGAAAGGGGCGGUAAUACCGGAUAAUAUCACCAUUCGAUGGAUUGGUGAUCAAAGAUUUAUCGGCAAAGGAGCGGCCUAUUUCCCAUCAGCUUGUUGGUGAGGUGAUAGCUCACCAAGGCUAAGACGGGUAGCGGGACUGAGAGGUUGACCCGCAACAUCGGGACUGAGACACUGCCCGGACCUCCACGGAGGGCUGCAGUAACGAAUAUUGCGCAAUGGGCGAAAGCCUGACGCAGCGACGCCGCGUGCGGGAUGAAGUCCCUCGGGAUGUAAACCGCUGUCAGGGGUAAGAAAGUGCGCUUCGGCGUAUUGAUCUAACCCAGAGGAAGUCACGGCUAACUUCGUGCCAGCAGCCGCGGUAAGACGAAGGUGGCGAGCGUUGUUCGGUGUUACUGGGCUUAAAGCGUAUGUAGGCGGGAAGGUAAGCGUCUUGUGAAAUCCCUCGGCUUAACCGAGGAAUUGCUCGGCGAACUACCUUUCUUGAGGCAAGUAGGGGUGCGCGGAACUCUUGGUGGAGCGGUGGAAUGCGUAGAUAUCAAGAGGAACGCCGGUGGUGAAGACGGUGCACUGGGCUUGUCCUGACGCUGAGAUACGAAAGCGUGGGGAGCGAACGGGAUUAGAUACCCCGGUAGUCCACGCUGUAAACGAUGUCUACUAGGCUGUGGGAGUUCUGAUGCUGUCACGGCCGAAGCAAAAGUGUUAAGUAGACCGCCUGGGGAGUACGGUCGCAAGGCUAAAACUCAAAGGAAUUGACGG
rnacentral:rRNA from 1 species